UACGUAGGGUGCAAGCGUUGUCCGGAAUUAUUGGGCGUAAAGAGCUCGUAGGCGGUCUGUCGCGUCUGCUGUGAAACUCAGGGCUUAACCCUGAGCUUGCAGUGGGUACGGGCAGACUAGAGUGCGGUAGGGGAGACUGGAAUUCCGUGGUGUAGCGGUGAAAUGCGCAGAUAUCAGGAGGAACACCGGUGGCGAAGGCGGGUCUCUGGGCCGUAACUGACGCUGAGGAGCGAAAGCAUGGGGAGCGAACAGG
rnacentral:rRNA from 1 species